ensembl:misc_RNA Y_RNA Y RNA
GGCUGGUCCAAAGGUAGUGAGUUAUCUCACUUGAUUAUUCAGAGUCAGUUAUAGAUUAAACUCUUUGUUCUACUCUUUGCCCCCUGCUCACUACUGCACUUGACUCAUCUUAA